UACAGAGGGGGCAAGCGUUGUUCGGAAUUACUGGGCGUAAAGGGCGCGUAGGCGGCCUUCUAAGUCGAACGUGAAAUCCCCGGGCUCAACCCGGGAACUGCGUCCGAUACUGGAAGGCUUGAAUCCGGGAGAGGGAUGCGGAAUUCCAGGUGUAGCGGUGAAAUGCGCAGAUAUCGGGAGGAACACCGGUGGCGAAGGCGGUUCUCUGGGCCUUACCUGACGCUGAGGAGCGAAAGCGUGGGGAGCGAACAGG
rnacentral:rRNA from 1 species